rnacentral:rRNA from 1 species
GAUGAACGCUGGCGGCGUGCCUAAUACAUGCAAGUCGAGCGAACAGACGAGGAGCUUGCUCCUCUGACGUUAGCGGCGGACGGGUGAGUAACACGUGGAUAACCUACCUAUAAGACUGGGAUAACUUCGGGAAACCGGAGCUAAUACCGGAUAAUAUAUUGAAUCGCAUGGUUCAAUAGUGAAAGACGGUUUUGCUGUCACUUAUAGAUGGAUCCGCGCCGCAUUAGCUAGUUGGUAAGGUAACGGCUUACCAAGGCGACGAUGCGUAGCCGACCUGUGAGGGUGAUCGGCCACACUGGAACUGAGACACGGUCCAGACUCCUACGGGAGGCAGCAGUAGGGAAUCUUCCGCAAUGGGCGAAAGCUUGACGGAGCAACGCCGCGUGAGUGAUGAAGGUCUUCGGAUCGUAAAACUCUGUUAUUAGGGAAGAACAAAUGUGUAAGUAACUAUGCACGUCUUGACGGUACCUAAUCAGAAAGCCACGGCUAACUACGUG